GAGUUUUCGACACCGCGACAGAUGUCAUCCACAGAUUGACGACACAACCGAUACCUGCAAGCCGAUCACGAUCAGUACUCCUCGUCCUCCUCAUCAUCGUCACCACCGCCCUCAGCGCCGACCUCCUCGUAGUCCUUCUCCAGGGCCGCCAGGUCCUCACGGGCCUCGGAGAACUCCCCCUCCUCCAUGCCCUCGCCGACAUACCAGUGCACAAAGGCGCGCUUGGCAUACAUGAGGUCGAACUUGCGGUCGAUGCGGGAGAACACCUCAGCGACGCUGGUGGAGUUGGAGAUCAUGCACACAGCGCGCUGCACCUUGGCGAGGUCACCACCCGGCACCACUGUCGGUGCCUGGUAGUUGAUGCCGCACUUGAACCCUGUUGGGCACCAGUCCACAAACUGGAUCGUGCGCUUCGUCUUGAUGGUGGCCACCGCCGCGUUCACAUCCUUGGGCACCACAUCGCCGCGGUACAUCAGGCAGCACGCCAUGU
rnacentral:lncRNA from 1 species